rnacentral:rRNA from 1 species
GGGAUAGAAUUCCAGGAGUAGCGGUGAAAUGCGUAGAUAUCUGGAGGAAUACCAAAGGCGAAGGCAGUCCCCUGGUCCGAUACUGACACUGAGGUACGAAAGCGUGGGGAGCAAACAGGAUUAGAUACCCUGGUAGUCCACGCCCUAAACGAUGUCGAUUAGCCAUUGGAAGGACCCCUUUUCCUUUCAGUGACGUAGCUAACGCGUUAAAUCGACCGCCUGGGAAGUACGACCGCAAGGUUAAAACUCAAAGGAAUUGACGGGGACCUGAACAAGCGGUGAAUGAUGUGGAUUAAUUCGAUGCUACGCGAAGAACCUUACCUACCUUUGACAUGGCCAAAGUUCUACCGAGAGGCGGAAGUACUCGUAAGAGGAUUGGCGCACAGGUGCUGCAUGGUUGUCGUCAGUUCGCGUCGUGAGAUGUUGGGUUCAGUCCCGCAACGAACGCAACCCUUAUCUUUAAUUGCUCCUAUUUUAACAGGCACUUUAAAGAAACUGCCAAUGAUAAGUUGGAGGAAGGUGGGGAUCACGUCAAGUCCGCAUGGCCUUUAUAGGUAGGGCUUCACACGUCAUACAAUGGUUAGAACAAAGAGCUGCAAAUUCGUAAGAAGGAGCCAAUCUCACAAACCUAACCUCAGUUCGAAUUGCGGUCUGCAACUCGAGCGCAUGAAGCCGGAAUCGCUAGUAAUCGUGGAUCAGAAUGCCACGGUGAAUACGUUCUUAGGUCUU